rnacentral:rRNA from 1 species
AUUGAACGCUGGCGGCAUGCCUUACACAUGCAAGUCGAACGGCAGCACGGGAGCAAUCCUGGUGGCGAGUGGCGAACGGGUGAGUAAUAUAUCGGAACGUGCCCAGUAAUGGGGGAGAGCCCGGCGAAAGCCGGAUUAAUACCGCAUACGAUCUACGGGUGAAAGCGGGGGAUCGCAAGAACUGGCAUUAUUGGGGCGACCGAUAUCAGAUUAGGUUGUUGGUGGGGUAAAAGCCCACCCAGCCGACGAUCUGUAGCUGGUCUGAGAGGACGACCAGCCACACUGGGACUGAGACACGGCCCAGACUCCUACGGGAGGCAGCAGUGGGGAAUUUUGGACAAUGGGCGCAAGCCUGAUCCAGCCAUGCCGCGUGUGGGAAGAAGGCCUUCGGGUUGUAAACCACUUUUGUCAGGGAAGAAACGGCUCUUACUAAUAUUAGGAGCUAAUGACGGUACCUGAAGAAUAAGCACCGGCUAACUACGUGCCAGCAGCCGCGGUAAAAC